rnacentral:sRNA from 1 species
ACAGUUGUGGUAAUACAAUGGCCGGAUAAGAAGAAAAUUUCCUACACACUGUCACAUCAGGGAAUUUCCUUCGCCAUUCGCUGUUGCUGGCAACAAACAAAGGUCUCAUCCUUGGGGUUUUCCAACUUGGGGAGUACGUUGGUCACGAUUAAGUACAAUUGAGGAGCAAUGGACGAAAGACCGACGACAAACAGAGAAAGAGCUAGGACUGAGAGCGGAACUUGCUGGUUUCAUAAACAACAAACCAUACCCAUUUUCAACGUACAUGGUAUUUUGCCUUGUUUGAAGCUGAACAUGAGAACACAACAUAAAUAAAAUAAAGGGUAUAGGAGCGACAAGAUCAAAGGGUGAAAUGGCAUUGUCGACAUAUGGGUAAAGAGGA